GCUGGGUGUGGUGGCACAUGCCUAUAAUCCCAGCAAUUUGGGAGGCUGAGGCAGGAGGAUUGAGAGUUCAAAGCCAGCCUCAGCAGAUCAGCAAGGCACUCAGCAACUCAGUGAGACCCUGUCUCUA
rnacentral:sRNA from 1 species